AACGAACGCUGGCGGCAUGCCUAACACAUGCAAGUCGAACGAGACCUUCGGGUCUAGUGGCGCACGGGUGCGUAACGCGUGGGAACCUGCCCUUAGGUUCGGAAUAACUCCCCGAAAGGGGUGCUAAUACCGGAUAAUGUCUUCGGACCAAAGAUUUAUCGCCUUUGGAUGGGCCCGCGUUGGAUUAGCUAGUUGGUAGGGUAAAAGCCUACCAAGGCGACGAUCCAUAGCUGGUCUGAGAGGAUGAUCAGCCACACUGGGACUGAGACACGGCCCAGACUCCUACGGGAGGCAGCAGUGGGGAAUAUUGGACAAUGGGCGAAAGCCUGAUCCAGCAAUGCCGCGUGAGUGGUGAAGGCCUUAGGGUUGUAAAGCUCUUUUACCCGGGAUGAUAAUGACAGUACCGGGAGAAUAAGCUCCGGCCAACUCCGUG
rnacentral:rRNA from 1 species